rnacentral:rRNA from 1 species
AGAGUUUGAUCAUGGCUCAGGAUGAACGCUAGCUACAGGCUUAACACAUGCAAGUCGAGGGGAAACGACAUCGAAAGCUUGCUUUUGAUGGGCGUCGACCGGCGCACGGGUGAGUAACGCGUAUCCAACCUGCCCAUCACUUGGGGAUAACCUUGCGAAAGUAAGACUAAUACCCAAUGAUAUCUCUAGAAGGCAUCUGAAAGAGAUUAAAGAUUUAUCGGUGAUGGAUGGGGAUGCGUCUGAUUAGCUUGCUGGCGGGGUAACGGCCACCAAAGCAACGAUCAGUAGGGGUUCUGAGAGGAACGGUCCCCACAUUGGAACUGAGACACGGUCCAAACUCCGUACGGGAGGCA